rnacentral:rRNA from 1 species
CAACAGAGGGAGGCAAAGCCGCGAGGCAGAGCAAACCCCUAAAAGCCAUCCCAGUUCGGAUUGCAGGCUGCAACCCGCCUGUAUGAAGUUGGAAUCGCUAGUAAUCGCGGAUCAGCAUGCCGCGGUGAAUACGUUCCCGGGCCUUGUACACACCGCCCGUCACACCAUGAGAGUCGGGAACACCCGAAGUCCGUAGCCUAACCGCAAGGAGGGCGCGGCCGAAGGUGGGUUCGAUAAUUGGGGUGAAGUCGUAACAAGGUAAC